rnacentral:lncRNA from 1 species
CUGGAAUUCCUGGGGUUCUCCCCUUUCAAUGUGCCAUUUCCUCUCACCCAGGUGUCCCUGUUCAUCUCCCAGGUAGGCCUGGUGAUGCUCCUUGGCCCCCAGCCAGGCAGUUGUUGAUGUGGGCAGCCCCAGCAGCAGCAGAGCUGUGGCAAGCCCCUCCAGCUUUGGUCAGGGAGCCCCGCUUCUCACAACAAACCUCGCCUGGGCCCUGGAAUCUUGCCGACUUCAGCAAAUGUUUACACCUGCUUCUCCAUGGAGCAAGAAUCUAAGCAAGGAAUCUGACAAACAAAACAAAGGAGUGAGAGCACGGCGGGGAGCAGGGCGGCGGCCUUAGCUGCUUUUUUCUUUCCAGAGAACUGCCUGUUUCCUCAAACAUUUUCUGGGCCCCUUGCCUGAGUUUUCAGCUUUCCCCUUGCCAGCUGCCCAUGGUCCCAGUGCUUAGGGUAUAAUUUUUUUUCUGGCUAGUCAUCCUCCACUCAAAGAUUAGCCCCACUCAAGAAAGGGCAUCAUUCCCAUAGCAGAUUUCCAUCACCAUCCUAAGGUCCAAGGUUACUGCUAAGAAGGCAGUUGUGUACAAGGCUUGCCUGACUGACAUCUUUGGUUUGAGGAGGUGGAUUGCUGACCAGAACUCUAACAUCGGGCCGAUCUUGAGCAAGCUUUGUCCUUCUCGGCACGCCUAAACCAUUUAUCAAAAUGUUUAUCACCAUUCUCCAUGGAGAUCAUGAAAAGACCCUAUUUAAUUCUCACUGCAAAGUAGAGGCGCUAUUGAACAGUAUCAAGCAGUGCUGUGGCUGUGAGCCCGAAGGACCUGAAGGUUCAUCAGAGCCAGUCUUUGUGGCGCUAUUAAAAGAUGAUGAAGUUAUUGACUCUAAAUUACUAGCUACCCUGAGGCUUGCAGGAAACUCCAACUCCCCAGUGUCUGAGAAGCAACCAAAAUCUGGGAAGACCAAGAGAAAAACCUUGACUUCUGAAGCUCGGAGCCGAAAGGCAAACUGAGAACCUCCCCAAGGAGCAACAGGAGGCAGGAUGGGACCUAGGGAGAUGUGCUGAAUUCAGAGUUGGCGGACAUGGGUUUGAAUCCUGACCCUGCCACAAAUGACCUUUGUGACCUUGAACAAAUCCCUUUACCCUCUCUGGGCCUCAGUUUCCUCAUCUAUAAAAUGAAGGGGAUGGAUAAAAGAUCUCUAAGAUCCCAUCAGGCUUUAACUCUAUGAAACUAGAGCAGAAUCAUGUCUAUAUCAUGUCCUUUAUGCGGGAUGGGGAGACACUGUGAAAGGGCAUUAUGGCAAAGCAUCUGCUUUAGCUGGUAGUAAAACAUUUCUACAAUCUGUAAUAAAUAACAUUUGCAUACACUACUAAGCUAGAAA